GUUACAGCCGCCGCGGUAAUACGUAGGGGGCAAGCGUUGUCCGGAUUUACUGGGCGUAAAGAGCGUGUAGGCGGCCAGACAGGUCUGUUGUGAAAACUGGAGGCUUAACCUCCAGACGUCGACAGAAACCGUCUGGCUAGAGUCCGGAAGAGGAGAGUGGAAUUCCUGGUGUAGCGGUGAAAUGCGCAGAUAUCAGGAAGAACACCAAUGGCGAAGGCAGCUCUCUGGGACGGUACUGACGCUGAGACGCGAAAGCGUGGGGAGCGAACAGGAUUAGAUACCCGUGUAGUCC
rnacentral:rRNA from 1 species